rnacentral:rRNA from 2 species
CACCGCGGUUAUACGAGAGACCCUAGUUGAUAAAUACGGCGUAAAGAGUGGUUAGGAAACAAACAAAUAAAGUCAAAUACUCUCCAUACUGUUAUAAGUUUUAUGAGAAUACGAAGCCCUAUUACGAAAGUAACUUUACCUCUUCCGACCCCACGAAAGCUAAGAAA